GAGUAAUACGUGAGUAACCUGCCUUUAACUCUGGGAUAAGCCUUGGAAACGGGGUCUAAUACCGGAUACGACCAACCCUCGCAUGGGGUGUUGGUGGAAAGGGAUUUUGUACUGGUUUUAGAUGGGCUCACGGCCUAUCAGCUUGUUGGUGAGGUAACGGCUCACCAAGGCGACGACGGGUAGCCGGCCUGAGAGGGUGACCGGCCACACUGGGACUGAGACACGGCCCAGACUCCUACGGGAGGCAGCAGUGGGGAAUAUUGCACAAUGGGCGCAAGCCUGAUGCAGCGACGCCGCGUGAGGGAUGACGGCCUUCGGGUUGUAAACCUCUUUCAGCAGGGGAGAAGCGAAAGUGACGGUACCUGCAGAAGAAGCGCCGGCUAACUACGUGCCAGCAGCCGCGGUAAUACGUAGGGCGCGAGCGUUGUCCGGAAUUAUUGGGCGUAAAGAGCUUGUAGGCGGUUUGUCGCGU
rnacentral:rRNA from 1 species